rnacentral:rRNA from 1 species
GAUGAACGCUGGCGGCGUGCUUAACACAUGCAAGUCGAACGAGAAUCAACGGAUUGAGGAUUCGUCCAAAUGAAGUUGAGGAAAGUGGCGGACGGGUGAGUAACGCGUGAGGAACCUGCCUCGGAGUGGGGAAUAACAGUUGGAAACAGCUGCUAAUACCGCAUAAUGCAACGAAAUCGCAUGACUUUGUUGCCAAAGAUUUAUCGCUCUGAGAUGGCCUCGCGUCUGAUUAGCUAGUUGGUGAGAUAACAGCCCACCAAGGCGACGAUCAGUAGCCGACCUGAGAGGGUGAUCGGCCACAUUGGGACUGAGACACGGCCCAA